CUGGGACCGGGCGAGGCGGAGCUGGGGAGCCGAGCCAAGCGGAGUGGCACUCUAAGACCUCUGGCGUCAAGAUGGUCACGACCUGCGCACCCAGGAAGGAAGACGCUGGAGCCAGGGGGGAGAUAAACAGGGUUCUGGAAGGGCCUCCCGACUACAGUAGCGGAUCAGACUCAGGAUCACCCAGUGGUCUAACACAGGCUCAGCCUGGCUCUCUGGGCAUCUGGAAUUCUCCCGAUGAAAUCUGCAAGAAACUGCAGGAGGAAAGUUCGAAACUGCAGAGACCCCAGAGAUGGCACAGGAAGGAGCUGGCUGGUGGCCACUGUGAAUUGUAAUUUGAAAGGAAUCAACCAGAAGCACUUUCUUUCCGUUGCUAGCUGGGGAACUACCCCAGGACCUGCGCAUUAUUCUCUGGAGAGCCCGAGUGGGGUUGCGAUGUUAUGCAAAUCGAGCUUAAAAGACACCAAGCGAAGAGGAAAUCGAAAUCAACAGAGUAAACUCGUAUGAAAUCUGGAACAUUCACCACACCAGGAUCUUAAAAUCUGGGGUUUUAAGGAUGCAUAGGAGCCAAGAUGUCAGAAUGUGACCAGAAGUUGGAAAAAAAAGAUGCCCACAUCAAAUAAGUACUGAAAAGAUGAGGAAAAAGAAGUUGAUUUCCAGGAAAGAAAAACGAAUAAUCUGGGGAGCUGAAGAGAUAACUUAUUGGUUAAGAGCGUGUGUUGCUUUUCUGGAGAACUCAGGUUUAAUCUCUAGCACCUACAUGGUAGCUCACAAGCAUCUAUAACUACAAUCCGAGAAUAUCUAAUUCCCUCUCCUAGCCUCUGCAGGCAAUGAAUGCACACGCCACCCAUUAAUGCAGGUAAAACACCCACACAAAAUGAAUAAGAAAAAGAAAAAGAUUUUUGUGAUGACUCACCAGAUGGAAGUCAAAUUUCACUUAAAAAUGCAAGUAUAGAUGCACACCUAAAUGGCACAGGGUUUAAAGACAAGUGACCCCGGGAGUUUGGAAUCGAGUUGUAGGUUUGUAACCCAGAGUCAUCUGGCAGGAGCAAAUGAUAAUCACCUCUGGAAGUGAAUUUGACUUCUCUAGGUUCCUGUAGAUGAAGAUUAGCCAGUGCUUAGAAGUCAGAGGCAACAGGGUUGCCUCAAGUUUGAGACUAGCCAGGCCAGUCAUAGCUACAGAGCAACAGUCUGUUACAAACAACAACAACAAAACCCAAACACACACUCACACGCACACGCGCGCGCGCGCACACACACACACACACACACACACACACACCAAAACAAAUAAAAUGGCAAAACACCUAAAUGUAUUUCUUUUUUAAGUUCCAUAAGAUUUAAAAAAUUCACUGGGCAAGUUAAUGCAGGAUUUUGAUCCCAGCACUUGGAAGAGAGAGGCAGGCAGAUCUCUUUGAGCUCCAAGCCUAGCUUACAAAGUGAUCCCUGCCCCUGGCCAGCUAGGACUGCAUAGUAAGACCUUACAAUACCCCCCCCCCCCCCCCGCCUUUAAAAAAUGCAAAGCUAAGCAUGGUGAUAUCUGCUUGCAAUCCCAGCACUUGGGAGGCUGAGACAGGAGGAUCACCACUAAUUUGAGGCCAGACUGGGCUACAUAGAGGAUACCAAGAUAACUUCAGCUACAAGAGUGAGCCGAUUUCAACAAAGAAACAAAAUAGACAAAAAACUAACCAAGCUAAACAAUGUAUUCUAGGCUGAAUUUAAAGUUUCCCAGCCUUCUGCCUUAACCUUUCAAGUACUGGGG
rnacentral:lncRNA from 1 species